AGGGUUUCUUACCCGUCAGGCCUGCUCUACCUACACAUACCUUAGUCUUCUACGUGUUACCUGUUUGCCGGUUCAAUUUGUAGAAAACAAAUGCCUAUACGUUCUACGCAUUCUUAGAAAGAAUAUAAUUCUCUAUAGGAUCAGACCUCAUUUCCGCCACCAUUUGAGCCCAUCUGGCCGACCACAGGCAGGAAGUGGGCCUAGAAAGCCACUCCCGCCAGCCCUAUGACAGAGGCAUCUAUAGCAAGGCGGCUCUGUCACCAACCACAGUAACUUGGGGCCUUAAAUAACCACAAAGAGGAAAUACUGCUACACAGAUACUUCUUUGUGUUCUUAUGACAGACAUUAAGUAAUUACAUUUAGCAAGAUGGAAUCCCAGCUCUGUCUCUUACUGGUUUGGGGAUUUGAGCAAGUGACUUGAUCUCUUUCUGUCUGUUUCCUCGUCAGUAUACUGAAGGCGAUAAUAGGAACUACCUUGUAGGGAGGUAAGGAGGAUGGAAUGAGUUCAUAUUUAUAAAGUGAUUACAACAGUGCCUGGAACUCACCAAGCGCUAUAACAGUGCUAUGAAGGAUAUAACUAGAUCUCCUUAUAGCCUGUCUGGCGACUUUCCUACUGUCCUCAUUUUACAGGUGACAGAGGUUAUGGUCAUGCCUCGAGACAGGAUGGAGCUGGCCUUUGAAACCUGACCUUCUGACCACAAAUUGCCCUCAUGUGGCUACACCCUUUCCCUCCCCCACUGACGCUGCCCCCUGAUGGGAGGUCUAGGGCAACUCCUGAGGGAGGGGUGGUGGCCCAAGGCGCAGGCCUGACUGCAGCACUGCUAAGGGCUUAUGAACUCUCAGAGCUCCACCUGUGUCUACGGGUCAUGUGUUUUCCAUGCUCUUAAAACCGCAGCCCAUGCGGAAGCAAAUGCACCACUACAAUACUUCUUCCCUGUACAGCGGACGGGACACCGUGGCUCUCAGAUGUGCUCAGGGCUUUCAUGACCAGACUGACAGCUAAGGUAAUCAUAUCAAGAUGGAUCAAGAAGGAACUGACAUGAUUUUAAUGCCCUUGAUUUAUUCGAGUGCAGUGACAGGUGUUGCUGAAAGACUGUGUUCUGUCCACAGGAGGUCAUGGCCACCUGACCUGGAAGUGGGCUUUGCUGCAUCAGCAGGUCAGAGAUCAUCCUGGAUUGCUAAAUAAUCAACAAGGCAUGAAAGUAGUGGAAAGAAAGAAGGGGGCGGGGAGGCUCCAACUUAAUGCUAACUAGGCUAUAUGCUAAUAGACUAAACACAAUUUCUGUCCAAAGAUAAAAGAAAUUCUGCUGCACUGGGCAAGAAGAUGUUUAAUUAAAUACAUACUAAAAUUUACUUGCAGUGAGUUUAUUUAGAAAACUGAUGUUUCAUCCUGUCAGGAAUAUCUUGUCAAUAAUAUUAAGACUUUGCAGUAAGGUUAAA